AGCGAACGCUGGCGGCAGGCCUAACACAUGCAAGUCGAACGGACCUUUCGGGGUUAGUGGCGGACGGGUGAGUAACACGUGGGAACGUGCCUUUUGGUUCGGAACAACUUGGGGAGACUUAAGCUAAUACCGGAUGUGCCCUUAGGGGGAAAGAUUUAUCGCCAUUAGAGCGGCCCGCGUCUGAUUAGCUAGUUGGUGGGGUAAAGGCCUACCAAGGCGACGAUCAGUAGCUGGUCUGAGAGGAUGAUCAGCCACAUUGGGACUGAGACACGGCCCAAACUCCUACGGGAGGCAGCAGUGGGGAAUCUUGCGCAAUGGGCGAAAGCCUGACGCAGCCAUGCCGCGUGAAUGAUGAAGGUCUUAGGAUUGUAAAAUUCUUUCACCGGGGACGAUAAUGACGGUACCCGGAGAAGAAGCCCCGGCUAACUUCGUGCCAGCAGCCGCCGUAA
rnacentral:rRNA from 1 species